UACGUAGGGGGCGAGCGUUGUCCGGAAUCAUUGGGCGUAAAGCGCGUGUAGGCGGCUUGUCAAGUCUGGUGUGAAAUCUCGGGGCUCAACCCCGAAACUGCAUCGGAAACUGGCUUGCUAGAGUCCGGAAGAGGAGAUUGGAAUUCCUGGUGUAGCGGUGAAAUGCGCAGAUAUCAGGAAGAACACCCGUGGCGAAGGCGGAUCUCUGGGACGGUACUGACGCUGAGACGCGAAAGCGUGGGGAG
rnacentral:rRNA from 1 species